GCGAUUUAUGCAAAAGAAGCCCAUUUUUCCACGCUGAUUUGCUUUUGUCCAACACAUCUGCGGAGUGUGUACGGUGGACAGGCCCUCGGGAGGUGAUCUUGUGAACACUUGCUGAGGAUCCUUGAUGCCGAGUGCAGGAUGUUUCCUACCAGUUUGAAGCCAUGUCUGAAGGGUUCCGAGGUGGAAUGUUCUGCGCUGGCCGAUGGCGGCGUCGGGGGGGGGGGGGGGCACUGCACCGCAUGCCCAUGGUGACGAGGAAACAGCUGACGCAGGCAACAACGGCAUAGACCAACAUCUGAAGGAUGACAGGGAAAAAAAGCUCCAUCCCCCUGGAAAAGAAGGAAAGAAGGGAAGAAUAAUGUGGAUUUAUUGAGGAGAAAGAGAAGUAAAUAUUUGGUGGCGUUUAAGAAGUGUUUGUGUUCCACCUGCAUGACAAGAUGAGGACUUUUUUUAAGGCAGCACUUCCAACAAGAAGAAGAAGAUGAGGACAUGUUUGAGGCAGCACUUCCAACAAGAAGAAGAUGAGGACAUGUUUGAGGCAGCACUUCCAACAAGAAGAAGAAGAUGAGGACAUGUUUGAGGCAGCACUUCCAACAAGAAGAAGAUGAGGACAUGUUUGAGGCAGCACUUCCAACAAGAAGAAGAUGAGGACAUGUUUGAGGCAGCACUUCCAACAAGAAGAAGAUGAGGACAUGUUUGAGGCAGCACUUCCAACAAGAAGAAGAUGAGGACAUGUUUGAGGCAGCACUUCCAACAAGAAGAAGAUGAGGACAUGUUUGAGGCAGCACUUCCAACAAGAAGAAGAUGAGGACAUGUUUGAGGCAGCACUUCCAACAAGAAGAAGAUGAGGACAUGUUUGAGGCAGCACUUCCAACAAGAAGAAGAUGAGGACAUGUUUGAGGCAGCACUUCCAACAAGAAGAAGAAGAUGAGGACAUGUUUGAGGCAGCACUUCCAACAAGAAGAAGAUGAGGACAUGUUUGAGGCAGCACUUCCAACAAGAAGAAGAUGAGGACAUGUUUGAGGCAGCACUUCCAACAAGAAGAAGAUGAGGACAUGUUUGAGGCAGCACUUCCAACAAGAAGAAGAUGAGGACAUGUUUGAGGCAGCACUUCCAACAAGAAGAAGAUGAGGACAUGUUUGAGGCAGCACUUCCAACAAGAAGAAGAUGAGGACAUGUUUGAGGCAGCACUUCCAACAAGAAGAAGAUGAGGACAUGUUUGAGGCAGCACUUCCAACAAGAAGAAGAAGAUGAGGACAUGUUUGAGGCAGCACUUCCAACAAGAAGAAGAUGAGGACAUGUUUGAGGCAGCACUUCCAACAAGAAGAAGAUGAGGACAUGUUUGAGGCAGCACUUCCAACAAGAAGAAGAUGAGGACAUGUUUGAGGCAGCACUUCCAACAAGAAGAAGAAGAUGAGGACAUGUUUGAGGCAGCACUUCCAACAAGAAGAAGAAGAUGAGGACAUGUUUGAGGCAGCACUUCCAACAAGAAGAAGAUGAGGACAUGUUUGAGGCAGCACUUCCAACAAGAAGAAGAUGAGGACAUGUUUGAGGCAGCACUUCCAACAAGAAGAAGAUGAGGACAUGUUUGAGGCAGCACUUCCAACAAGAAGAAGAUGAGGACAUGUUUGAGGCAGCACUUCCAACAAGAAGAAGAUGAGGACAUGUUUGAGGCAGCACUUCCAACAAGAAGAAGAAGAUGAGGACAUGUUUGAGGCAGCACUUCCAACAAGAAGAAGAUGAGGACAUGUUUGAGGCAGCACUUCCAACAAGAAGAAGAUGAGGACAUGUUUGAGGCAGCACUUCCAACAAGAAGAAGAAGAUGAGGACAUGUUUGAGGCAGCACUUCCAACAAGAAGAAGAUGAGGACAUGUUUGAGGCAGCACUUCCAACAACAAGAAGAAGAUGAGGACAUGUUUGAGGCAGCACUUCCAACAAGAAGAAGAUGAGGACAUGUUUGAGGCAGCACUUCCAACAACAAGAAGAAGAUGAGGACAUGUUUGAGGCAGCACUUCCAACAAGAAGAAGAAGAUGAGGACAUGUUUGAGGCAGCACUUCCAACAAGAAGAAGGACUAGAAGUGACGUCAUACCUGAGGUGAGUGCAAACUGUGAAAGAGGUGACUUGUCUUAAAGCGACAGUACACCCGUUUAAAUGAGUGACAUGCAAUGAAAGAUGUCUCGGAGACAAGAAGAAGGACAACUAGUCUUAAAGGAAUAAUAUUCAUGGCUGAAAAACUGCAAAAGAAGAGACAAAAUAAUCUAAAUGUUGAAUAAAUCUGAACACAUUUAAAUAAUGAGUUACAUGUGUCAUUAAUUAUUGUUAUUAAAUAAA